UUCGUAUGCUUGAAUACUAAAUCUGCUGGCUGUUCAGAAUCCAGACAGUUGCAUUACUCUAACGGUUAACAACCAAAGGCAAAGAAAUAAAAAUAAGAAACAAGACAUAACAGGACACAAUUGGUAGCUUAAUGACUGCGUGAAAUAGCUCAAUAUGUUCAUGAUGCUCUGUUGUAACAUUAAUGUCACUGAACAUGAUGUCAUGAUGACAAUUAGCCAUUGACCCCGUGAUUACGAUGCCCACAACUGUCAGUCACGGAGGAUGAUACUGAUAACGACUAGUUCCCAUUAUAGGCAUAGUUUCAAACUUUGAACAUAACCUUACAUUAUUGAUGCAGGCACUACACCAGGGUUUUUAAUGAAAGGCCUGAUUCGACAAUGCAGUUUACACGAAAAUGUUUACUGCAAUUGCUCAUAAAUUAGGGUUUGGUCAAAAAGAAAGAUGAGAUUAAAAAAUACCCUUUGAUAAACAAAACGAGAUAAACAAGCUAGAAACCAGCUAGAAAUACUUUAUUAUUAAUCAGUUCAGCAGGCUUCAUAUUUCAAAGACAAUCUUGUAUCUUUGUUAUCUUUAGGGAGAAAUGCUCGAUGUAAGAUGGCAGACAUUCAGUCUGCAUCACUUUGCGAUAUGAUGCUAAUUCUUUGAUAUAAACUAUUUAAAGUCCAAACAAUGCUUGAUGGUGCAAUGUUUAUUUUAAGACUCAAACAAGAGACACCAGUUAUCCGAGAUCAAAAAAUUAUGCCAUCUCAGAUUCUGUCACAUGAAUGAAUAGAAGCAACUGGACAUUUUUGCUGUUUACUGAAGAUUGCUUUGUUUAUGUGGACGAAACACUGAAUAAGACUUUUGAAACUUCCCAUGGUAAUUAAAAUUUAUGACAAGAGAAAAAUUCCCUUUACAAAUUUAUCGGCAAGUUUAGAUGUAUUUAGCUCCUAGAAUAUCAAAUGAAGAAGAAGACUAAACAAUCGCAUAUGUGACUAACGAAAACAUCAGUCAAUAUUUCUACGGAUCUAAAUGCUCACCCGUCAGGGGCGUCGCCGAAGGGGAGUACAACAAUUUGUUCGUCGGCACAUUAAGGAUUUUUUGCCGGGCAAAAGAAUCUAUUUUUGUACUCACCCUGGAACCUUUUUACAACAAUUGGAAGGUAUAACUUUUUGGUCAGUAUAUAAGAGUAUUAUCUUUUGACCACACCCUUCAAAAAUGAGACACGCCCUUUUUGUAGGCAUAAAGCACUUCUUUACCCCUUCAAACAAAUUUUUUGGCUUCGCCCCUGUCACCCAUAGAUCUUUCCCGUCUGCCUUGUUCUUUAAAAGUAAUCAUAAUGACGGUUUGGGAGGAAUUUGACUAGGUCCUUUAUUCAGCGAAAGAAAGUGCCUAGUACCGAUUGUCAUAAAGCACUCGGAGACAUGUAGUUUUCAGGCUCCCUCAACAAACUUGUAAUCUUUGCAACAACCUUUGCCAAAUACACGUAAAAAUGACAAAUACACGCCUCGUUUGUCUGAAUGAUAGAUACAGAAGCAACUAAGAACAAAAAUAAGAAAUUUGGAGCAAAGGCCGCAGCUAAAAUGUUUAAGCUUCUUAAGCCAACAGUUCCUAUUAACCGACUUUCAGCCAAAGUCGAAACAGGCUUGACUAGCUAACACCAAAUAUUCGAAAUCCAAAACAGAUUGUCCCAGCAUCCUAUAUAAAAUAUUGUAUGUGGAUGGAUUAUGUGGUUUUUCAGGAAACCACUCAACUGGUUUUCGGGUGGUUGCUGGAAAUAAAGCCAGCUGUAACUUAAAAAUCAUGAAAAUAAAUUGAAGCAAAUUGGGACCCUGAGCAUAGAGACAUCAAGCGAUACAAGCAGAGCACGACGGGAAGAUAGCGUCGCCAAUUUGUCUGUCCAUUGGGUUUUGGAGAUUCUUUUCAGCUUUUCGUUGAUUCUUCUCCAGUUUAAGGAUCCAUAGCCUACAAGUGAAAAAGGUAGUUAUUUACAAAUCAACAUUAUCAUACGAAUCAACCCAGUAAUGAAAAACAGAUAACUUUUUUGAGGUCUAAAUACCAUAAAACUUUUAAAAAGUUAUUGACUCUCAGUUCGCAUUUCAAAGUGCAAUUCCCAUCACCUGAACUUUUCCAAGUGCCUGUAGAAUAUGAAUAUUUUCCAGCAUCUGUGAAGCAGAUAAGUUUUCAGUCCCAGAGACUAAAUCUAUGAUGUCAUAUCGUUUUAGUUGUAACAUUACAAAUAACUUGAUAAAUCAGCAGGUUUCUGCAAUAACCUUUGAUCAUGCUAAAUUAAUCUUUAAACGAAUAAUGCUGGCUGCAAAUCUUUCUAUAACAUUAGGCCAAGAUAAAACUGAGGCCUGUGGAUCUCCAUGGAUUUAAUUGUCAUACUUGGAGGCAGUGAUCUUUAUGAUUUUAGCAAAAUAAAAGGUAUCUGAUCAGCACUUUGUCUCUUUAUGAAUAGAAUUAUGGUAUAAUUUCUGUUGGACAAAAGCUAUAGUUCCUUGUAAGGAAUUUUCAAUUAGCUAGGUCUGUUCUAUAAUUGGCUAGGCUUUGACUCCUGAAAAGGAAAUCUGGUAGGAAACAAUUCUGGCUCAUAACAAUGACGCCAUAAAAGUUGUUCCUGUCUAAAUCUGCAAAAUGGCAUAUGAUAACUAUCCAUUAUUUAACAACGAAAAAUCAAUAACAAACAUUUAAUCUCAAUGCACAAGACCUCUUGCCAUUGCUACAUGAACUAGGAAGUUAAAUCCACGUUUGUGCAUAAAGUUACCCUUGUUUGUGAGCUUGUCGAACUUUCCUUUAUAUCAAGCUUCAAAAGCAGGAAAUUGAGAAAGGACCAUAUUACAGCAUAAGAUAUGACAAUAUUAGACAGCAAAGCCUGAACCAGGGGGCUGUAAAGCUUCUUCCAAAAAUUUCCAAACUAUUUCAUAGCUCCUUCAUAACUGGUGCUAAAUAAAAAAAGCAACUGAAUCACGGCCCCUUCGUAUGAAUGAAGAUUUAUCAAAAAUAAAUAAAGAUUUUUUCCUUAAUAGAAUCUUCAUGAACAGAGAAUCUCUAGUCUAUUUAAAACUUGAUAUGGCAAGAAAACAUAUUUGAGUAAACCCACACUUCUUAAGAUUCAGCUAUAGAAAGUUUCAUCUUUAGAGUGGCAGGAAAAUGAUCAGUUGACGAAGCCAUUUUGCAUGCGUAAGCAAUUUGUACUUGUUGCUUGCCUCAAUAGAGAACGAAUUGUUUGUAAACAUAAGAGUUUCCUCUGCAGUAUUUGAUUCUUUUCGUUGAUAAUAAAUCAUCUCCAAAUUGUCAAGGCAGAAAUUAUUGGAGUUCUGCGUGGGAGGGUAUGAAGCACCUCUCUUGCAAAAAACGUGUGUAUCAACCAGAGCGAUUGCAUAUUUCAUCCACCAUCAAACAAUUUAAAUUCGAUUCUUGCUUUUCGCUUUGUAGUGAGCAAAAACAUCGACGGAGCAAAAGUCAACAUCUAAUCGCCAUACAUUCAACUUUCUAAGAAGUCAGAACAAGCCUGAACAGGCCAAAAAAUUAAUUCUAUUUAGAACCUCGUUUGCGCUAGAACUCGUAUUGGUGAGCAUUGAUUACGCAAUCCUUCUAGUUAUGUAAAAAGUUUUGAUCAAUAAAGUUUUCGAAGAUGUUUGAACGAGAAUUUUUACAUCAAAACAACAUCUACUGGAACGAUUCUCUUAUACGCACCAGGUUGACUUGUCAGACAAAAAAGCUUUUAAUAGUAUACUGUGAAAUGCUUGCUUUUUUCAAAGCCAUUUUCAAGUUCUGCACCACAAAAAAUUGUAAACGAAUAGUAGUACUUCAAAACAUUAUAAAGUUUUUUCAUGUUUUUAAAAUCUAUAAUUAUAGCAUUUAGUAUUUCUCGAGGUUCCCAAUACUAUGCUUCCAUGGUGUUUGCAGUUAAACGACCAAAGAUAACAAAAGUGUGAGUUGAUACCUGGUCCAUCUGCAGCAGAUGCUAUCAAAAUGAAGGUUAGAAAAAGUACCAGCAUCGCAUAGUGCACCAUCACUCUUACAGCUGAAAGCAAGAAACAAGAGAUUCAUUAUUCGAAGGAAAUUUCAGAAACUUUUGAUGUAAUUAGUAAUACAAUAAUUGUACCUACAGCUUGAUAGAUUAGAAUUUAUGCAAAUAUUCUCAAAUCAAAAAGCUAUUUCAUCAAAGCUGGUAGUGAUGUAGAGGUAAUAUAAAAAUAUUAUUUCACAAAUUUUGCUGAUUUUUUUGCUGUGUGUAAGGCUUCAAGAGUAACAAU